CUUUUCCAGGCUCCACAGUCUGGAGAAGCUGGGGGCCAAGCACUCAGAUGCAAGAUGCCUGGAGACAUCACAGAUUGGACGAACCCUGAUUGAAUUGAACUCAGCCAAACAUAUCUUGUGACCCUAGCUCCCCACCUCACCCCCACCAUGCAGAUGCUAUCGUCAGGCAAACCUUAAGCCUGCCUUCUGCAUCCUAUUGAAACCCUUCAUGGAAACGCUGCCUGUCCACCACCCUCGGGCAGCGUCUGCCAAUGGGUCCCCCACCCAGUCACCCAGAAGAGAUUCAAGCCAUGUGUGAUGAUAUGUGCCCACACACUCAAUCCCCGGGAGGUUAUGGAAGGAGGAUCAAAUAGUCAGGUCUAGCUUAGGCUACAGAUUUCUUGUGUCACAAAACACACAAACAGAAGAGAUUUUCAGGUGAUCUGCCCCCCUCACCUCUUGUCCACCACAGCCCCCCUCUUAUGUAGAAGGUUAAGACUGAUUCCGAGGCUGAGCAAGGAGACCAUCACAGCAUCCGGGGGCUGCUGCUGUCUGUCCCGUGCGGGUUCACAGGAAGUUAGGAAACAACGGUGAGCGUAUAAAUUGAUUUAGCAGCCCUCGCCUGCGUUCUUCAGCCACUGGCCCAGCACCCGCAUCGGAGAAACCGGGGAUUUCUCUUUGUGCCAUCUCUGCCUUCAUAGCCUGGCAUGCUCUGCCCAUGCUCCCUCCCUGCCUUGG